rnacentral:rRNA from 1 species
GUGAGGAAUAUUGCGCAAUGGAGGCAACUCUGACGCAGCCAUGCCGCGUGCAGGAAGAAGGCGCUACGCGUUGUAAACUGCUUUUAACCGGGAAGAAACCCCAGGACGUGUCCUGGGUUGACGGUACCGGAGGAAUAAGCACCGGCUAACUUCGUGCCAGCAGCCACGGUAAUACGAAGGGUGCAAGCGUUAUCCGGAUUCAUUGGGUUUAAAGGGUGCGUAGGCGGAGCGUUAAGUCAGUGGUGAAAUCCUGCAGCUUAACUGUAGACUUGCCAUUGAUACUGGCGCUCUUGAGUGCGCUUGAAGUGGGCGGAAUGUGCCGUGUAGCGGUGAAAUGCUUAGAUAUGGCACAGAACACCAAUUGCGAAGGCAGCUCACUAAGGCGAUACUGACGCUGAGGCACGAAAGCGUGGGGAUCGAACAGGAUUAGAAACCCCGGUAGUCC